rnacentral:rRNA from 1 species
GACGAACGCUGGCGGCGUGCUUAACACAUGCAAGUCGAACGGAAAGGCCCUGAUUUUGUGGGUUGCUCGUUUGGCGAACGCGUGAGUAACACGCGAGUAACCUGCCCUUGUCUUUCGGAUAAAAUUAGGAAACUGGGGCUAAUAUAGGAGAGGAGCUCUUGCUGCAUGGUGGGGGUUGGAAAGUUUCGGCGGUUGGGGCUGGACUCGCGGCAUAUGAGCUUGUUGGUGGGGUAGUGGCUUACCAAGCCUUUGAAGGGUAGCCGGCCUGAGAGGGUGACCGGCGACAUUGGGCCUGAGAUACGGCCCAGACUCCUACGGGAGGCAGAAGUGGGGAAUAUUGCACAGUGGGCGGAAGCGUGAUGCAGCGGCGCCGCGUUCGUGAUGACGGCCUUCGGGUUGUAAACCACUUUCGACUGAGACGAAGCGGGAUUGACGGUACUGAGUAAAGAAGCACCGGCUAACUACGUG